rnacentral:pre_miRNA from 1 species
GAGACAACCCUAUGGGGCAAGACUUGCUUCAAUGGGGCUUUGGGCUCACUGAGUCUGCCCCCUGAGUGUGUCCUU